rnacentral:tRNA from 1 species
GGGAUUGUAGUUCAAAUGGUCAGAGCACCGCCCUGUCAAGGCGGAAGCUGCGGGUUCGAGCCCCGAACACUGACA